UAACGCGUGAGGAACCUGCCUUGGAGAGGGGAAGUAACACUCCGAAAGGAGUGCUAAUACCGCAUGAUGCAGUUGGGUCGCAUGGCUCUGACUGCCAAAGAUUUAUCGCUCUGAGAUGGCCUCGCGUCUGAUUAGCUAGUAGGCGGGGUAACGGCCCACCUAGGCGACGAUCAGUAGCCGGACUGAGAGGUUGACCGGCCACAUUGGGACUGAGACACGGCCCAAACUCCUACGGGAGGCAGCAUG
rnacentral:rRNA from 1 species